UUUUCGAAACAUUGUUACGACGACAUAAGUUUUAUCGAUUUUGCAAACUACUUCGUAAGCUGUUUUAAAAAGUUAAUAAUGUAAGUAAAAAAACAGACAUUAAAAAUGAACCAGUUUUUUUUUUCUCAAGAACAAAUGUUUCUUUUGGUUCUGCUCCAACCAAGUUCUGCUGGAAAACCGAUGGCAACAAAAAAGCCCAAUGAAUUAUGUCGCUAACAUUCAACACAUUUGGAUUUUCUUGUGUCUUUUAUUCAGUAUCUAGAUACACAGAUAUGUCCAGAAAACUUUAAAUCUAAGCCUACUAAACCCUAAACAAAACCCACCUUUUUCCACAAAUAUAUCGAUAUACGCAACAAAACACCUCAACAUUUACAAGAAAUCAAUAAAAAAAAUAAAACAAAACUACUGACACGUCCACAUCUCCCCGACCUCCCCGCGAGAAUAAACAUAUGACGUCACCGGCGGGUAAACAAACAAACAAACACAUGCGCGCCGCUCAUGUUUCCUUAAUACAAUUAUUAUUUCGAAUGUGGAACGCGAACGAGGCGGACGCCAUUCGCGAUUUAUUUUUAAAACUAGCUGACCGCUAACAAUUUAAACCUUUUUAAUAGCUAUAGUCAUAAUUGUUUCUUUUUAACUCCAACCUCCUUUGAUUUGAAACACCUUGUCUCUGGUCUUUUCUCUUUGGUUUUGUUCUGAGCGGUCUUGUCGUUUUAUUUUUACAUUGUUUUUGUUUACCGAGUAAAAAUAUGGAGUCAUGCUCGUGCAUUCGCCGUCAAAUCCGCUUACCAAUGUGUUUGCUUGCCGGUGCUGCUGGGUUCCAAAAGAAAAGAAGCUUGAAAUCCCUUUUGGUCUAAUUUUCGCCUUUGAAUCUUCCCGUUUCUUUCAAUUGAUGUUUCAUAGUCUCAUCUGUAUUCGAUGAAGAAUUUCGAUGAGUGACAAAAAUGAAUGAAUGACAAAAUAUGUAUACUUAAUAAAACUAGAAAUAAUUUAUUACUUACUUCAUUAAAAAAUCGAGAAAUACAUAGUUAGCUGUGGGUGAACAGAAUGAAAACCUUUUUUUUCAUAAAAAAAGUUUUUUAAUUUAAUCUAGGUAUUUAUCUUACAACUUAUUAAAUAUUAGUAACUAUUUCCCAUAACGAUAACGCAUAACAACUUAAUUCUAGCAUCUAUCGGUUCCAAAAAAUGUAAUUAACUUUGAGGACAAAACUAUAAUAUUUUGCUACUUUUUCAAGGCUGUUUGAUUGUUUGUAAAUGCUAAAACGUAUACGUAUAAAAUAAUUCGUAGACAUUAAAAUAAAUAUGGUCAGUAAAUAUAAGGAUUAUCGUCGUAGGCCUCGGUUUUUGAAUAAAUUAAACGAUUUAGUUGUGUGUUUACGUUUACAAUAAAUUAAAACAUAAUCAAUAAAA